UUUACUAUAACACAUCAGCCCACUUAGUGUCGACCAGUUUCUCGUACUCAAGCCACUGUGGGCCUAGUGCAAUUUCGCAAGUGCUUCUCACGAUUGUUUGUUGUUGUUGUUAUUUUCCCAGUAUUUUCUUUGCCAUAUCCCACCAAAAAAAGAAAGUGGUGCUACUAGCACCAAAGGAAAAGGAAACUGAGCUAACGAGAGUUGCUCUAAGUACGGAAAUGUUAUUUGCGGCUCUUGCUAGCAAGCGUCGUAUGGCUAAGUCGACAAUUUCGCCUAUCCUAUAGAAUAAAAAUAUAAUAACAGGAAGCUAGCGUUGCCAAAGGAGUGAUUAGCGUUACAAAGCAAAGGCCGCAAAUAAUAGAAGAAAUGGAGAAGCUACUGGAGUCAGCUACGCAGUCAAAUCAUGGAGGGUGAGUACGACCUCUCGAGUCCCUCCGAAGCCACCGCACCACCACCAAAAAGACAUAAAACUGCACCUGUACAGCCGAGCUCAGAGUCUUACUGUGGCUGGAGCAAGGGCCCCACAUGCGCCGUCAGACAACGAGCAGCAACAAGAAGCUCAUACAACGCUAAGACAAUGGCUCGGAUUGGACACGCAGCAGCGUUUUAAUGUGGUUGUUCUACUGUACUGAAUGUGAAAAUAUUAAAAAAAUCGCAAAGGUUAA